CACUAUGACUGAGUGGUUAAGGUGUCUAUUAGAAAUCAGGUGUGCUAGCACGUAGGUUUAAAUCCUGCUGGUACGU